AGUAUGUUUGGUUUGGUAGGACUUUCUAACUGUAUGUUGUUCUUUUUCCUUUUUCAAACACUUCCCAUAACGGUCAAUGUCACUCUUUUAUGCUUAUAACUUCAAGAGUUGUUAUAAUUUCGAGUUUUUGUUUACUCUAAAAUGUUACUCUUUUUAUUUUCCAAGAUUAUUUUGAAGUGAUAAUUAACUUGUUCGUCGGAGUGUUUGUAGGAAGGUAUGUACGCUCUUGUCAUGAAUAGAUCAAAAUGAGUCUUGAGGUCAUUACAAGUAAUGUUCUUCUAUUGCUUCUUUUCAUUUGGUUUUUACAAUAAAUGCAAAGUGAUUGUUUUGUUACAAGUAGUAAAUGCUGCACAAAUCCAUAACAAAUAUUGAGCAGUUUCUCGCAUUUUCUUUUUUAUAUUAUACUGGUAAGGGUUGUAUUGUGUUUUGAUAUCACUGUUUCUUUUGGUCAUAUUUGAUAGGGAGAGCCAGCCGUUGAGGUUACAAAUGAAGGUGUUGAUGCUGCAGGGCAUACAAUUGGUACAUCUUUGGAGGUCGUGUUCAAACUUAGGAAGGUUCUCAACCCCAAGAGUGUGAUCAAACUAACAUCACUAGCUAAAGAUUAUUUUUAGAAUAACAUCUAUCGAAUAAAUUUCAGACGAAAGACCUUGGUAAACUCCUAUAUUUUUUGGGUAUUGAGCUGGUCCAAUCUAAAGAAGAUAUGGUAAUUUCUCCGGGGAAAUAUGCUAUGGAUACUUUUGAAGAAACAAGUCUGUAGAUAAUGCAUUCAUAGAAAGUAAGUCACUUUAACUUGUUGGUGUCAUCCAAAGGUAACUAGAAAUACUAUGUUUGGUUUGGUAGGACUUUCUAACUGUAUGUUGUUCUUUUUCCUUUUUCAAAGACUUCCCAUAAAGGUCAAUGUCACUCUUUUAUGCUUAUAACAUCAUGUGUUGUUAUAACUUCGUCUUUUUGUUUACUCUAAAAUGUUACUCUUUUUAUUUCCCAAGAUUAUUUUGAAGUGAUAACUAACUUGUUCGUCGGAGUGUUUGUAGGAAGGUAUGUACGCUCUUGUCAUGAAUAGAUCAAAAUGAGUCUUGAGGUCAUUACAGGUAAUGUUCUUCUAUUGCUUCUUUUCAUUUGGUUUUUACAAUAAAUGCAAAGUGAUUGUUUUGUUACAAGUAGUAAAUACUGCACAAAUCCAUAACAAAUAUUGAGCAGUUUCUCGCAUUUUCUUUUUAUAUUAUACUGGUAAGGGUUGUAUUGUGUUUUGAUUUCACUGUUUCUUUUGGUCAUAUUUGAUAGGGAGAGCCAGCCGUUGAGGUUACAAAUGAAGGUGUUGAUGCUGCAGGGCAUACAAUUGGUACAUCUUUGGAGGUCGUGUUCAAACUUAGGAAGGUUCUCAACCCCAAGAGUGUGAUCAAACCAACAUCACUAGCUAAAGAUUAUUUUGAGAAUAACAUCUAUCGAAUAAAUUUCAGACGAAAGACCUUGGUAAACUCCUAUAUUUUUUGGGUAUUGAGCUGGUCCAAUCUAAAGAUGAUAUGAUAAUUUCUCCGGGGAAAUAUGCUAUGGAUACUUUUGAAGAAACAAGUCUGUAGAUAAUGCAUUCAUAGAAAGUAAGUGACUUUAACUUGUUGGUGUCAUACAAAGGUAACUAGAAAUACUAUGUUUGGUUUGGUAGGACUUUCUAACUGUAUGUUGUUCUUUUUCCUUUUUCAAAGACUACCCAUAAAGGUCAAUGUCACUCUUUUAUGCUUAUAACAUCAUGUGUUGUUAUAACUUCGUCUUUUUGUUUACUCUAAAAUGUUACUCUUUUUAUUUCCCAAGAUUAUUUUGAAGUGAUAACUAACUUAAUCGUCGGAGUGUUUGUAGGAAGGUAUGUACGCUCUUGUCAUGAAUAGAUCAAAAUGAGUCUUUAGGUCAUUACAGGGAGAGCCAGCCGUUGAGGUUACAAAUGAAGGUGUUGAUGCUGCAGGGCAUACAAUUGGUACAUCUUUGGAGGUCGUGUUCAAACUUAGGAAGGUUCUCAACCCCAAGAGUGUGAUCAAACCAACAUCACUAGCUAA